rnacentral:rRNA from 1 species
GCAAGUCGAACGAGAACGGGUUAAAGUUUACUUUAACUGUCAGCUAAGUGGCGCACGGGUGAGUAAUAUAUAGUUAAUCUGCCCUAGAGAGAGGGAUAACGUUUGGAAACGAACGCUAACACCUUAUAUGCCUUUAAGUCUUAAGACUGCAAGGGAAAUAUUUAUAGCUCUAGGAUCGGCCUGUACGGUAUCAGUUUGUUGGUGAGGUAAUGGCUCACCAAGACUAUGACGCCUAACUGGUUUGAGAGGAUGAUC